GCCAGUUAUUGGUUCACCUAUCUCAGCUGCAGUUGCAGCAAUGGAAAAAGAGUCCUUUCAACUGUAAAAAAAGUACCUUCUUUUCUAUUACUGAACUCAACAGUGAGUUUUGUUCCUGUUUCUGUUCCACAGCAGCAUCUUGGGAAGAACAUACUUUUAGCUUUGGACAUAUAAACAGCCUUUGUUUAUCCAAGUGUAUCAACACAUCUCAAUGGAGCAUGAGCAGCAGUUUCACAACUUGCUGUAUUACAGCAGUGCCUAUUCAGCCUGAGCAAGAGCAGAAAAUACUGUACAGAAAUCCUGACAGACAGGCUCUUCGCAUGAAACUUUCAUCUAAACUUUACUACAUACCAAAGAUUGAACUUUUAAUUGGCCAAGGAAGAAACUUAUGGAUAUGUACCUAAAGCUGCAAACUGUCAGAUGUUCACCUAUCAUAAUGAUGUCCUGCUGCCAUGCAUUCUAAUUUUUCACCAUCUAGCAUGAAAAUAAUAAAAUAGAGCCACCAGCAACCA
rnacentral:lncRNA from 1 species